rnacentral:rRNA from 1 species
CUUCUUGGGUUUAGAUAGACUGAGAAGACAAGUUAAAUAAAAAAGAAUUGCUAAAAACAGUUACCUUGGGUAUCAUGGUUCGGCUAGUAGGUUCCUAGGAUUGGGAAGCCCCGAAACCUCUUGAGCUUUUGUCCCCCUGUUAGGAACAUUCAGGGUUGGGUAAAAACUAAUUCUUAGAGGGAACAAAAGUGGGGAAAUCCCUGUCAAAAGGGGUAAUAUCUGGUUUUCAGGGAGAAAGGAAUAAGUAUCUUUCUAAGAAGUAAAAUCGGGGGGAUAAACUCUUCGAUAUGGCCUAGGAUUUGACUUUGUUUUAGUUUAGUAGGCUUAGAAGCAGCCGCCAACGUUAUUGUGGCACUAUUAAUGGUGGGUUAAGUCCUGGAUAGUCUACUUGAAUAGGUAGAAAAAUUUUAUUCUAUUUUAACAAUGCUGGAAUGAGUAUUGAGGAAAAUAAGUUGUAGGAAAAAAGAUAAUUGUAGAAAGGAACUCGGCAAACUAAGUUUUCGCCUGUUUAUCAAAAACAUCGCCUCUCGGACUAAUGAGAGGUCUAUCCUGCCCGGUGCUUAAGUAAACGGCUGCGGUAGCCUAACCGUACAAAGGUAGCAUAAUCAUUAGCCUAGUAAUUGUAGGAUGGAAUGAAAGGUAAAACGGGGACUGGCUGUCUCUUUACAAUAUCUAGAAAUUGACUUUUGGGUGAAGAGGCCCAAAUUUUUUCAUAGGACAAAAAGACCCUGGGAGCUUGAGUGUAGCCUAAACGCGACACUUUUGUUGGGGCAACAGAGGAAUUACUAGAAAUAUCCUUUAGUAAAAUGUUUUUUAGAUUUUUCCGUUUCACGAUUAUAAGCUACCUCAGGGAUAACAGCGUAAUCUCUCUGGAGAGUUCUAAUCGAAAGAGAGGGUUGCGACCUCGAUGUUGGACUAAAGGUGCUCCUAGUUGCAGAAGGCUAGGGAGCGGGUCUGUUCGACCUUUAAAACUUUACACGAUCUGAGUUAAGACCGGCGUGAGCCAGGUUGGUUUCUAUCCUUGAUUUAUUACUCUGCCAAUUAGUACGAAAGGAUUGUUGGCAGCAAAGAGUUUGGAUAGAAGAAUGAAUAUAAUUCCUUGGUUUUGCCAGGUAAGCGAAA